CGGAGGGUGCGAGCGUUGUUCGGAAUUAUUGGGCGUAAAGCGCGUGUAGGCGGCUCCUUAAGUCUGAUGUGAAAGCCCCGGGCUCAACCUGGGAAGUGCAUUGGAAACUGGGGAACUUGAAUACGGGAGAGGGUAGUGGAAUUCCUGGUGUAGGAGUGAAAUCCGUAGAUAUCAGGAGGAACACCGGUGGCGAAGGCGGCUGCCUGGACCGAUAUUGACGCUGAGACGCGAAAGCGUGGGGAGCAAACAGGAUUAGAUACCCUGGUAGUCCACGCCGUAAACGAUGAGUACUAGGUGUUGCGGGUAUUGACCCCUGCAGUGCCGCAGCUAACGCAUUAAGUACUCCGCCUGGGAAGUACGGUCGCAAGACUA
rnacentral:rRNA from 1 species